rnacentral:lncRNA from 1 species
UAUAAAGGGCAAUAACUCCUAAAGGGGUCAACUGACCAUUUCAGUCGUGUUGACUUAUUUGUAAAUCUUACUUUGCUGAACAUUAUUGCUGUUUACAGUUUAUCUCUAUCUAUAAUAUUAUUCAAGAUAACCAAAAACAGCAAAAUUUCCUUAAUAUUACCAAUUCAGGGGCAGCAACCCAACAACGGGUUGUUCAAUUCAUCUGAAAUUUUCAGGGCAG